rnacentral:rRNA from 1 species
CGUAGGGUGCGAGCGUUAAUCGGAAUUACUGGGCGUAAAGCGUGCGCGGGCGGUUUAGUAAGACAGGCGUGAAAUCCCCGGGCUCAACCUGGGAACUGCGCUUGUGACUGCCAAGCUAGAGUACGGCAGAGGGGGUGGAAUUCCACGUGUAGCAGUGAAAUGCGUAGAGAUGUGGAGGAACACCAAUGGCGAAGGCAGCCCCCUGGGUCGAUACUGACGCUCAUGCACGAAAGCGUGGGUAGCAAACAGGAUUAGAUACCCUGGUAGUCCACGCCCUAAACGAUGUCAACUAGGUGUUGGGAGGGUAAAACCUUUAGUACCGGAGCUAACGCGUGAAGUUGACCGCCUGGGGAGUACGGCCGCAAGGUUA